GACAGAUAACUGUGCUGGGUUUGAAAUUGAAUUUGAAAGUGGCUGAAACAUUCGUUGUGUAUGUCAACAGAAUUGCACAAUUACUGAGUGCUAGUAUUUCUUCUACUGUCAUACAUAAUAUUGUUUUUUUCUUUCUCACUUUUAGUUGUUGUGGUCUUUUGACUGUAGGCAUAGGGUCUCCCAUGAACCAAAACUCCCGCCGCCCUAACCUUAAUUUAUGGAGCAAUUCUAACACUCAGCAACAAAAUCCUUCAGGUGGCAUGAUGUGGCCUAGCUCGCCGUCUCACCUCAACGGCAAACGUCAUCUCAGCCAGCAAGCCCGGAAUUCAGGAGCAUGUCCACCCUUUUGACAAUUCAAAUAUGGGGAUCCAAAGCAUGCCAAACCUUCAUCCUCAUUCUUUUUCAGAGUACCUCGACAACUUUACAAAUGGUAGUCCAUAUAAGUCCUCGACAGCAUUUUCUGAAGUCGUUAGUGAUGGCUCGAAAGCAAAUGAUGCCUUUAUGUUACAUAAUGUUCGUGGAGUGGAUGGCUUUAACGGAGGGGGUAAGCUCUUUAUCUCUAAAUUGCUACUGUUUUGAUAAAUUUGUCGAAGAAUAAUGAUGAUAUGUAGUUGACAAUUGUGAGUUUAAGAAGAAUGUCUGCCGUAGCACACUAUUAGGAUGGUCCUUACAAUUUUAGUGGAAUCUGAAAUGUGCUACAGCGAUGAAAAUUCUAGGUACUGUUUCUGUAGACAACUUUUUUUAAAAGCAUUCUUGGUGUAAAACUUGUCAUCCUGGGAAAAUAUUAUUAGUAUUAUGUUCUUAAUUGCAGUCAUAUAGACAGAUAACUGUGCUGGGUUUGAAAUUGAAUUUGAAAGUGGCUGAAACAUUCGUUGUGUAUGUCAACAGAAUUGCACAAUUACUGAGUGCUAGUAUUUCUUCUACUGUCAUACAUAAUAUUGUUUUUUUCUUUCUCACUUUUAGUUGUUGUGGUCUUUUGACUGUAGGCAUAGGGUCUCCCAUGAACCAAAACUCCCGCCGCCCUAACCUUAAUUUAUGGAGCAAUUCUAACACUCAGCAACAAAAUCCUUCAGGUGGCAUGAUGUGGCCUAGCUCGCCGUCUCACCUCAACAGCAUUACUAGUCAGCGCCCACCUGUUACUGUAUUCUCUAGAGCACCUCCUGUUAUGGUGAAUAUGGCAUCUUCCCCUGUGCACCACCACAUUGGAUCUGCGCCCGUAUUAAACUCGCCUUUCUGGGAUAGAAGACAAGCCUAU
rnacentral:lncRNA from 1 species